rnacentral:rRNA from 1 species
UACGGUAGGGGGCAAGCGUUGUCCGGAUUUAUUGGGCGUAAAGCGCUCGCAGGUGGUCCGUUGCGGUCGAUGCGUGAAAGAACCCCGGCUCAACCGGGGAGGGUCGCUGCGAUUACGGGCGGACUGGAGGCCAGUAGGGGGAGUGCGGAAUUCCGGGUGUAGGUGGUGGAAUGCGUAGAUAUCAGGAGGAACACCGGUGGUGUAGACGGCUAGUCUGGACCGUAACUGACGCUGAGGCACGAAAGCGUGGGUAGCAAACAGG